rnacentral:rRNA from 1 species
ACGAACGCUGGCGGCACGCUUAACACAUGCAAGUCGAACGAGAGAAGAGGAGCUUGCUUUUCUGAUCUAGUGGCGGACGGGUGAGUAACACGUGAGCAAUCUGCCUUUCAGAGGGGGAUACCGAUUGGAAACGAUCGUUAAUACCGCAUAACAUAAUUGAACCGCAUGAUUUGAUUAUCAAAGAUUUAUCGCUGAAAGAUGAGCUCGCGUCUGAUUAGCUAGUUGGUAAGGUAACGGCUUACCAAGGCGACGAUCAGUAGCCGGACUGAGAGGUUGAUCGGCCACAUUGGGACUGAGACACGGCCCAGACUCCUACGGGAGGCAGCAGUGGGGAAUAUUGCACAAUGGAGGAAACUCUGAUGCAGCGAUGCCGCGUGAGGGAAGAAGGUUUUAGGAUUGUAAACCUCUGUCUUCAGGGACGAAAAAUGACGGUACCUGAGGAGGAAGCUCCGGCUAACUACGUGCCAGCAGCCGCGGUAAUACGUAGGGAGCGAGCGUUGUCCGGAUUUACUGGGUGUAAAGGGCGUGCAGCCGGGUCUGCAAGUCAGAUGUGAAAUCCAUGGGCUCAACCCAUGAACUGCAUUUGAAACUGUAGAUCUUGAGUGUCGGAGGGGCAAUCGGAAUUCCUAGUGUAGCGGUGAAAUGCGUAGAUAUUAGGAGGAACAUCAGUGGCGAAGGCGGCUUACUGGGCUUUAACUGACGCUGAGGCUCGAAAGCGUGGGGAGCAAACAGGAUUAGAUACCCUGGUAGUCCACGCCGUAAACGAUGAUUACUAGGUGUGGGGGGACUGACCCCUUCCGUGCCGCAGCAAACGCAAUAAGUAAUCCACCUGGGGAGUACGACCGCAAGGUUGAAACUCAAAGGAAUUGACGGGGGCCCGCACAAGCAGUGGAGUAUGUGGAUUAAUUCGAAGCAACGCGAAGAACCUUACCAGGUCUUGACAUCGUAUGCAUAGCUCAGAGAUGAGUGAAAUCUCUUCGGAGACAUAUAGACAGGUGGUGCAUGGUUGUCGUCAGCUCGUGUCGUGAGAUGUUGGGUUAAGUCCCGCAACGAGCGCAACCCUUACUGUUAGUUGCUACGCAAGAGCACUCUAGCAGGACUGCCGUUGACAAAACGGAGGAAGGUGGGGAUGACGUCAAAUCAUCAUGCCCCUUAUGACCUGGGCCUCACACGUACUACAAUGGCUGUCAACAGAGGGAAGCAAAGCCGCGAGGUGGAGCAAACCCCUAAAAGCAGUCUUAGUUCGGAUUGUAGGCUGCAACCCGCCUACAUGAAGUCGGAAUUGCUAGUAAUCGCAGAUCAGCAUGCUGCGGUGAAUACGUUCCCGGGCCUUGUACACACCGCCCGUCACGCCAUGGGAGUCGGUAACACCCGAAGCCUGUAGUCUAACCGCAAGGAGGACGCAGUCGAAGGUGGGAUUGAUGACUGGGGUG